UGGGCUGGUACCACUGACUGCUCUGGGAAGGGACUGGUCCAGGACGGGGACAUGCUGGGAGGGGAAGGACAGACAUUUCUCCAGCAAACAGAGCCCCAACUGCUGGCAUUUGCCUUUGUGCCCAGAAGCAGAAGGUCCCCAACGGGGGAGAAGCUGAAUCGCUGGGAUGGGACAAGCAUCUGUGACCCAGCCCCAGUGGAGUGGCCCCUUCUGGCAGCCUGGGCUUGGGGGGCCAGAGCAUCAGGGGGAAACCAGCUGGGGCUGGGGGCCAUGCGGCUCCUAGUCCAGUUUACAUUUUUUGGCAGAGAAAUAAACUGGGAGCUCCAUCCAGUUCACCCCCGAAGGCAACCCGGGCUCCUUCCCAGCGCUCCCACCUCACACACAGCAGAGCCCAGCACCGACGGAUGCAGCUCUUGCAGGGGCACGGCUCCCCCCGUCACCCCCCAGGGCAGGGACUAUUUAUUUUAAUCCUCUCCGAGCAACACAAGGAGAAGGCAGCAGUGCGUGCCAGCGACCGCGGAGAUUAGGGGAGGAAGUGCUCCUGUGUGGGGAAAAUGGCUGCUGGCCAGAGGGGUCCGGGCUCCUGCAGCAUCCCUGGGGCCGGGCAGGGGGGCUGUCCCCCCGCUGUGCCCCCCACUCCUCUGCACGCACACCGGCACCCAGCUGCUCAGCACCCAGCCAGGGCACAUCCCUGCUUCCCCUCAAAUCCCAGUCUCGCUCCAGCCGUCCUUCCCAGCGCUCCCACCUCACACACAGCCCAGCACCGACGGAUGCAGCUCUUGCAGGGGUGCUGCUCCCCCCGUCACCCCCCAGGGCAGGGACUAUUUAUUUUAAUCCUCUCCGAGCAGCACAAGGAGAAGGCAGCAGUGCGUGCCAGCGACCGCGGAGAUUAGGGGAGGAAGUGCUCCUGUGUGGGGAAAAUGGCUGCUGGCCAGAGGGGUCCGGGCUCCUGCAGCAUCCCUGGGGCCGGGCAGGGGGGCUGUCCCCCCGCUGUGCCCCCCACUCCUCUGCACGCACACCGGCACCCAGCUGCUCAGCACCCAGCCAGGGCACAUCCCUGCUUCCCCUCAAAUCCCAGUCUCGCUCCAGCCGGGACCCUGGCAGACCUGAUCCCCCCCCCCCGGCUCAUGAAGGCGAGCGGCUGGGCCAACCCCCCCGCUGGGGUUUAAACAUUGCUGGGGAGGCCACCCGUGACACCGGGGACACGGGGCAGGCACCGGACAGGGA
rnacentral:lncRNA from 1 species